rnacentral:lncRNA from 1 species
GGCUCCCGCACCCCUAGAGGCGCCCACGGCUCGCUCCGCCCUCUCGGAUAACGGGGCAGGCCGGUGGCCCACGCAGCCCACCAGCUUGCAGGGAGGGCAGACCCUGGGGGAUGUGAGGGAGGCUUUCUCACGCAGACCCUAAAACGGUGAGCGCCAGGGAGCCCCGCCUGCUUGUCCCCUCCCCAGAUCCCUCGGGCUCUGGAGACCUUGCGGGCCCCCUGUCCGUGACCACCUGAAACAGGUCCUGGAGCUGCUACUGCUGGCUUAGGCUGGUUGGUGGAAAGGAUCCAGGGCUGUUGUGAAGGCCUUGGGGAGUCCAGAAGCCGCCUGGCACCUUCUGGGUCCAGACGCUGCCCUUCAGCCCUGCCAUUUCAGCCAGCCUCAGCGUCGCUGUAGAGGCAGGCCGCCCUUUCUGCCACUGUCUGGCUGGGCUGGGCCGUGGGAGUGCUGGCCAACGUGCCAGGCAGGGAGGACCUGAAUUCCUGAAGGUGGUGGUGGCAGCUGUUAGGGUCCACAGGUUAAUGAUCUCCAACGUCACACAGAAGAGAAUGUGCUGAGGUGUGACCUCCCUCACCCUGCCUUGGCUGCGUGGGGCACCGUCUCUCCAGGACUCACCCUGCCCCCCAAUAGACUGAAGUCUGAAGAUCAGCCCAGUCUUCCUUCAGGCCUCAAUGCCCUCUCACUUCCCCAGCCCGAGGGACUCCUGGCUCUUCUCGGAGGCUGCUCUGUGGGGUCCCUCCCUUGGGCCUUUGCUAAUGCUGUGCCCUCUGCCUGUGCCAGAGGUGGGCCUGGGCCCGUUUCUCAGGGAGCUCCUGAACACCAAGAAAUUGAAUUGCUUUGUAAAUAAACAAAAAGUGCCAAACAAGCCUGCCUGUCACUUGGGAGAUGGCCCGUCUCUGCCCCACCAAAUUUGCUAAUCAAACAAAUAACCUAAAAUAGAAUAGAAAGAACUCAUCUAGACUUUUCUUGUACCUCUGCUCCCCAAACAGCUUCUCUUUUCAGGUCUCCGGAGCAGCCCUGUUCUCUCUAGCCCAGGCCUCUGUCAAAAAUUCAGCCUGACCUUAAUUAAUUAAUUAUUAUUAUUUUUAAUUAAAAAAUUUUUAAAUAUAAAAAAAAAAAAA